rnacentral:rRNA from 1 species
GAGUUUGAUCAUGGCUCAGAUUGAACGCUGGCGGCAGGCUUAACACAUGCAAGUCGAGCGGGGAAGGGUAGCUUGCUACCUGACCUAGCGGCGGACGGGUGAGUAAUGCUUAGGAAUCUGCCUAUUAGUGGGGGACAACAUUCCGAAAGGAAUGCUAAUACCGCAUACGCCCUACGGGGGAAAGCAGGGGAUCUUCGGACCUUGCGCUAAUAGAUGAGCCUAAGUCAGAUUAGCUAGUUGGUGGGGUAAAGGCCUACCAAGGCGACGAUCUGUAGCGGGUCUGAGAGGAUGAUCCGCCACACUGGGACUGAGACACGGCCCAGACUCCUACGGGAGGCAGCAGUGGGGAAUAUUGGACAAUGGGCGCAAGCCUGAUCCAGCCAUGCCGCGUGUGUGAAGAAGGCCUUUUGGUUGUAAAGCACUUUAAGCGAGGAGGAGGCUACUUGGAUUAAUACUCUAGGAUAGUGGACGUUACUCGCAGAAUAAGCACCGGCUAACUCUGUGCCAGCAGCCGCGGUAAUACAGAGG